rnacentral:rRNA from 2 species
ACACCUGUUCCCAUUCCGAACACAGAAGUUAAGCUCUUUAGCGCUGAAAGUACUUGGUGGGAAGCCGCCUGGGAGGUUAGGACGUAGCCACGU